AUUGAACGCUGGCGGCAGGCCUAACACAUGCAAGUCGAACGAGUGGCGGACGGGUGAGUAAUGUCUGGGAAACUGCCUGAUGGAGGGGGAUAACUACUGGAAACGGUAGCUAAUACCGCAUACCAUCGGAUGUGCCCAGAUGGGCUUAGCUAGUAGGUGGGGUAACGGCUCACCUAGGCGACGAUCCCUAGCUGGUCUGAGAGGAUGACCAGCCCAACGUGAACUUGGAACAGGUCCAGAAUCCUACGGGAGGCAGCAGUGGGGAAUAUUUGACAAUGGGCGCAAGCCUGAUGCAGCCAUGCCGCGUGUAUGAAGAAGGCCUUCGGGUUGUAAAGUACUUUCAGCGGGGAGGCGUUACCCGCAGAAGAAGCACCGGCUAACUCCGUGCCAGCAGCCGCGGUAAUAC
rnacentral:rRNA from 1 species